rnacentral:rRNA from 1 species
CGUAGGGUGCGAGCGUUAAUCGGAAUUACUGGGCGUAAAGCGUGCGCAGGCGGUUUUGAAGCCAGAUGUGAAAUCCCCGGGCUUAACCUGGGAAUGGCAUUUGGGACUGCAAGGCUUGAGUGCGGCAGAGGAGACUGGAAUUCCCGGUGUAGCAGUGAAAUGCGUAGAUAUCGGGAGGAAUACCGAUGGCGAAGGCAGGUCUCUGGGCUGACACUGACGCUCAUGCACGAAAGCGUGGGGAGCAAACAGGAUUAGAUACCCUGGUAGUCCACGCCCUAAACGAUGUCGACUGGUUGUUGGGGGUUUGACACUCUCAGUAACGAAGCUAACGCGUGAAGUCGACCGCCUGGGGAGUACGGCCGCAAGGUUA